rnacentral:tRNA from 3 species
GCGGGAUUAGUUUAAUGGUAGAACAGGAGAUUUCCAAUCUCCUAGUGGGAGUUCGAUUCUCCCAUCCCGCACUA